UACGUAGGGGGCUAGCGUUGUCCGGAAUCAUUGGGCGUAAAGCGCGUGUAGGCGGUCCGGUAAGUCCGCUGUGAAAGUCGGGGGCUCAACCCUCGAAUGCCGGUGGAUACUGUCGGGCUAGAGUACGGAAGAGGCGAGUGGAAUUCCUGGUGUAGCGGUGAAAUGCGCAGAUAUCGUAAGGAAGACCAGUGGCGAAGGCGAGUCUCUGGACAGCAACUGACGCUGAGGCACGAAGGCCAGGGGAGCAAACGGG
rnacentral:rRNA from 1 species